rnacentral:antisense_RNA from 1 species
AGCGGCUUGGCCCCCAGCCGUCUGUGGCAGUGCGUCCCCUCUCCGCGGGAUCGUCGCCAUGGUCCUGCGAUCCUAGGAGUCGGGCAAGGCGGAACCUGCCUGAAGAAACCUCAAGCGGAGAUUCAAGGAAGCACCACGUGAUCCCUAAGGAUCCCAAAGAUGCGUCGGGCAUGCAUGGGCGGUGUGAGGGUGCGUCUCCCUGACAGGUGUCCCCGCUGGGAUUUCGAGAAAGAAGACCAGCACACGACAACCAAGAACAAAUUCCUCCAGGGGCCCAUGGUCCUGCGGCACACCCAAGGCUGGACGGACC